CACCGCCGUGGCUUCUACACUAGGUCUGCACCGCCGUGGCUUCUACACUAGGUCUGCACUGCCGUGGCUUCUGUCCUAGGUCUGCACCGCCGUGGCUUCUACACUAGGUCUGCACCGCCAUGGCUUCUACAGUAGGUCUGCACUGCUGUGGCUUCUGUCCUAGGUCUGCACUGCCGUGGCUUCUACACUAGGUCUGCACCGCCAUGGCUUCUACACUAGGUCUGCACCGCCGUGGCUUCUACAGUAGGUCUGCACUGCUGUGGCUUCUGUCCUAGGUCUGCACUGCCGUGGCUUCUACACUAGGUCUGCACCGCCGUGGCUUCUACACUAGGUCUGCACUGCCGUGGCUUCUACACUAGAUCUGCACCGCCAUGGCUUCUACACUAGGUCUGCACCGCCGUGGCUUCUACACUAGGUCUGCACUGCCGUGGCUUCUACACUAGAUCUGCACCGCCGUGGCUUCUACACUAGGUCUGCACCGCCAUGGCUUCUGUCCUAGGUCUGCACUGCCAUGGCUUCUG
rnacentral:sRNA from 1 species